rnacentral:rRNA from 1 species
GAUGAACGCUGGCUGCGUGCCUAAUACAUGCAAGUCGAGCGAACGGACGAGAAGCUUGCUUCUCUGAUGUUAGCGGCGGACGGGUGAGUAACACGUGGAUAACCUACCUAUAAGACUGGGAUAACUUCGGGAAACCGGAGCUAAUACCGGAUAAUAUUUUGAACCGCAUGGUUCAAAAGUGAAAGACGGUCUUGCUGUCACUUAUAGAUGGAUCCGCGCUGCAUUAGCUAGUUGGUAAGGUAACGGCUUACCAAGGCAACGAUGCAUAGCCGACCUGAGAGGGUGAUCGGCCACACUGGAACUGAGACACGGUCCAGACUCCUACGGGAGGCAGCAGUAGGGAAUCUUCCGCAAUGGGCGAAAGCCUGACGGAGCAACGCCGCGUGAGUGAUGAAGGUCUUCGGAUCGUAAAACUCUGUUAUUAGGGAAGAACAUAUGUGUAAGUAACUGUGCACAUCUUGACGGUACCUAAUCAGAAAGCCACGGCUAACUACGUGCCAGCAGCCGCGGUAAUACGUAGGUGGCAAGCGUUAUCCGGAAUUAUUGGGCGUAAAGCGCGCGUAGGCGGUUUUUUAAGUCUGAUGUGAAAGCCCACGGCUCAACCGUGGAGGGUCAUUGGAAACUGGAAAACUUGAGUGCAGAAGAGGAAAGUGGAAUUCCAUGUGUAGCGGUGAAAUGCGCAGAGAUAUGGAGGAACACCAGUGGCGAAGGCGACUUUCUGGUCUGUAACUGACGCUGAUGUGCGAAAGCGUGGGGAUCAAACAGGAUUAGAUACCCUGGUAGUCCACGCCGUAAACGAUGAGUGCUAAGUGUUAGGGGGUUUCCGCCCCUUAGUGCUGCAGCUAACGCAUUAAGCACUCCGCCUGGGGAGUACGACCGCAAGGUUGAAACUCAAAGGAAUUGACGGGGACCCGCACAAGCGGUGGAGCAUGUGGUUUAAUUCGAAGCAACGCGAAGAACCUUACCAAAUCUUGACAUCCUUUGACAACUCUAGAGAUAGAGCCUUCCCCUUCGGGGGGGCAAAGUGACAGGUGGUGCAUGGUUGUCGUCAGCUCGUGUCGUGAGAUGUUGGGUUAAGUCCCGCAACGAGCGCAACCCUUAAGCUUAGUUGCCAUCAUUAAGUUGGGCACUCUAAGUUGACUGCCGGUGACAAACCGGAGGAAGGUGGGGAUGACGUCAAAUCAUCAUGCCCCUUAUGAUUUGGGCUACACACGUGCUACAAUGGACAAUACAAAGGGCAGCGAAGCCGCGAGGUCAAGCAAAUCCCAUAAAGUUGUUCUCAGUUCGGAUUGUAGUCUGCAACUCGACUACAUGAAGCUGGAAUCGCUAGUAAUCGUAGAUCAGCAUGCUACGGUGAAUACGUUCCCGGGUCU